ACUCGCAUGUUGGAAUUGGUAGACAAUGAAGACUUAAAAUCUUUUGCCUUAGGGCGUACCGGUUCGAGUCCGGUUGCGAGUACCA
rnacentral:tRNA from 1 species